rnacentral:rRNA from 1 species
CCUACGGGAGGCAGCAGUGGGGAAUAUUGGGCAAUGGAGGCAACUCUGACCCAGCAACGCCGCGUGAAUGAUGAAGGUCUUCGGAUUGUAAAGUUCUGUGAUGGGGGAUAAACACAAUGACGGUACCCCAAUAGCAAGCCACGGCUAACUACGUGCCAGCAGCCGCGGUAAUACGUAGGUGGCAAGCGUUAUCCGGAAUGACUGGGCGUAAAGGGUGCGUAGGUGGUUUAGUAAGUUGGCGGUGUAAUUCCGGGGCUCAACCUCGGCGCUACCGCCAAAACUAUUAGACUAGAGUGCAGGGGGGGUAAGUGGAAUUCCUAGUGUAGCGGUGGAAUGCGUAGAUAUUAGGAGGAACAUCAGGGGCGAAGGCAGCUUACUAAACUGCCACUGACAUUGAUGCUCGAAAGUGUGGGUAUCAAACAGGAUUAGAUACCCUUGUAGUC